AACGAACGCUGGCGGCAUGCCUAAUACAUGCAAGUCGAACGAUACCGUCGGGUCUAUGCUCGCCCUGGUUCGUAAGGCGAGGGAACCGUACCGUGUGGGUGGCAUAACUCCCCGAAGGGGGUGACAAUAGCGAAUAAUGGCUUCUACCCAAAGAUUUAUGGCCUCUGGAUGGGCCUGAGUUGGAUGAGCUAUUUGGUCGGGUAAACGCCGACCAAGGCUGCGAUCCAUAGCUGGUCUGAGAGGAUGAUCCGCAACCCUGGGACUGACACACGUCCCAGACUUCUACCGGAGGCAGCAGUGGGGAAUAUUCGACGCCGGGCGAAAGCCUGAGCCAGCCAUGCCGCAUGAGUGAGGAAGGACUUAGGGUUGUAAAGCUCUUUUAAACGGGCUCAUAAUGACAGUACCGGGACAAUAAGCGCCGGCUAACUCCGUG
rnacentral:rRNA from 1 species